rnacentral:lncRNA from 1 species
ACUUUAUCUUAAGUAAUAUUUUCAGGCACUUUCUCUAUCACUGCCUAAAGUGGACCUGAACCUUUGGACCUGAUGUGAACUAGAAUGAAGUUGGUUGGACCUCAAGUACUCUGUGGAAGCUUUAAGGACCAACAACACAUCUCGGUACGACAAGUGGAGACUCGACCGUACAGACCCGUCCGGUCUCGCACACGACGCCGUUAACGGCAAACGGAGUAACGCCGCCGCCGACCCGCUGGAGGUACUUUCUCCAUCACUGCCAAAAGUGGACCUGAUGUGAACUAGAAUGAAGUUGGCUGGACCUGCAGUGAAGUGGACCUGAAGCUAACUGGACCUCAAGUGGAAGCUUCAAGGACCAACAACACACCUCGGUACGACAAGUCGAGACUCGACCGUACAGACCCGUCCGGUCUCGCACACGACGCCGUUAACGGCAAACGGAGAAACGCCGCUGGGAGGCACUUUCUCCAACACUGCCUACAGUGGACCUGAUGUGAACUAGAAUGAAGUUGGCUGGACAUGAAAUUUACUGGACCUCAAGUAGUCUGUGGUAUUGUAUUUAAUAUUGUUGUGGUACUUUGAAUGUUAGGAAAGUUCUACAGGCAUUCCCCAGUUUGUAAGAGUACUGUGUCUUAUAAAAACCUAUGGUAAAUCGAA